rnacentral:rRNA from 1 species
UACGAAGGGGGCUAGCGUUGCUCGGAAUCACUGGGCGUAAAGCGCACGUAGGCGGAUUGCUAAGUCAGGGGUGAAAUCCUGGAGCUCAACUCCAGAACUGCCCUCGAUACUGGCGAUCUCGAGUUCGGGAGAGGUGAGUGGAACUGCGAGUGUAGAGGUGAAAUUCGUAGAUAUUCGCAAGAACACCAGUGGCGAAGGCGGCUCACUGGCCCGAUACUGACGCUGAGGUGCGAAAGCGUGGGGAGCAAACAGGG